UGACAAAUACCUGUUGGUAUCCAGAUGUCUGCCAGGGUGCAGUGCUAAACGUCACUGGAGUUGCUCUAUGAAUAAGGAACACCAAGGAGAGAACAAAAGACAAGUGGGCAAAUUAUGAUGGCAGAAUGAAGACUGAUUAAGCAGAUCUCCCCGAAGUCGCCUAGAAACACUCGAUGAUUUAAAGCCAAGGCAAGUGAAAUAAUGUUUGUGACCCCCUUUGCACUCAUAGAAAUGUCAGGGCUGGUCACAUUUUUAGAUU
rnacentral:lncRNA from 1 species